rnacentral:rRNA from 1 species
UAGGGAAUCUUCGGCAAUGGGGGGAACCCUGACCGAGCAACGCCGCGUGAGUGAAGAAGGUUUUCGGAUCGUAAAGCUCUGUUGUUAAGGAAGAACGAGUGUGAGAAUGGAAAGUUCAUACUGUGAUGGUACUUAACCAGAAAGGGACGGCUAACUACGUGCCAGCAGCCGCGGUAAUACGUAGGUCCCGAGCGUUGUCCGGAUUUAUUGGGCGUAAAGCGAGCGCAGGCGGUUAGAUAAGUCUGAAGUGAAAGGCAGUGGCUCAACCAUUGUAGGCUUUGGAAACUGUUUAACUUGAGUGCAGAAGGGGAGAGUGGAAUUCCAUGUGUAGCGGUGAAAUGCGUAGAUAUAUGGAGGAACACCGGUGGCGAAAGCGGCUCUCUGGUCUGUAACUGACGCUGAGGCUCGAAAGCGUGGGGAGCGAACAGG